UACAGAGGGUGCAAGCGUUGUUCGGAAUUAUUGGGCGUAAAGGGCGCGUAGGCGGUGCGGUAAGUCUUUUGUGAAAUCUCCGGGCUCAACUCGGAGUCUGCAGGAGAAACUGCCGUGCUUGAGUGUGGGAGAGGUGAGUGGAAUUCCCGGUGUAGCGGUGAAAUGCGUUGAUAUCGAUAGGAACUCCGGUGGCGAAGGCGGCACACUGGACCACAACUGACGCUGAGGCGCGAAAGCCAGGGGAGCAAACGGG
rnacentral:rRNA from 1 species